AGACAAGGAGGCAGAGGAGUUUGAAGACGCGGUUGCAGAGGAACUACGUCAGAUCGUCCUGGCAGAAGACAGAAAGCUUUACCAGGCAGCGAAGGGUGUCGAUUUUGUGAAGGACCCAAACCCACAGUACAACGAAGGGUUGAACCUGGACUACGGUGACAACUUCCUGAUCCCACAGUCGAAGUCAGCUUACAAAACUGACGCCAAAAGCAUCCUCGACGAGGCGUCCAUACUAGAUGCCCUCCAAGAAGAAGAAAAAGAAGGAAAGCCCAAGAAAGAUGCAGACAAGGCGAGUGAGGAGGUGGAGGAGACAUCAGACGCUAAUGAGAAGGAU